GGAAGUAAAAGUCGUAACAAGGUUUCCGUAGGUGAACCUGCGGAAGGAUCAUUAAAAAAUUGGACUCCAUUGGUGAGUUCAUUAAUAAUCCCUACCCUUUGUGUAUUUGUUUGUUUGAAUAAUUUUUUUUCCAAAAAAAAUUAUUGAAUGUCUUUCCCUGUUUUGGUGGAGCUUGUAAAGUGAACCAGGCAGGGGAAUGGCAAACAAUAAUUAUUUUUGAAGAAAAGACCUUUUUUUAAAAUUAAACUUUUUGUAUUCAUUUGUCUAAAAUUAUUUUUAUAAUAUAAAAACAACUUUUGACAAUGGAUCUCUUGGUUCUCGCAACGAUGAAGAACGCAGCAAAAUGCGAUAAGUAGUGUGAAUUGCAGAAUACGUGAAUCAUCGAAUCUUCGAACGCAUAUUGCACUUUUUUAGUUUACUAAAAAAGUAUGUCUGUUUGAGUAUCAGUAAAAUAUUCUCAUAAAAAACAUUGUUUUUUUAUGGUUAUGAGUGUUUUACAACGAUAACAAGUUGUUUCACUUUAAAUUCUUUGUUAUCAAAAAAAUCAUUAAAAGCUAAUUUUAAAGAUUUUUUAAAAUUGGGUAAAAUUUUCCCGUAAAAAGGAAUAACCUAAACAAUUUUAAAAAAUUAAAAUUGGUUUGAUUUUUUUUGAAACCCAAAGGAAAAAAAAACGAAAUUAACUUGAUCUCAAAUCAGAUAAGAGCACCCGCUGAACUUAAGCAUAUCAAUAAGCGGAGGAAAAGAAACUAACUAGGAUUCCCUCAGUAACGGCGAGUGAAGCGGGAGAGCUCAAAUUUGAAAUCUUCAAGGUUUUACCUUGACGAAUUGUAGUUUAAAGAAGUGUUUUCUGUUGGAGUUUUGGUAAAAGUUCUUUGGAAAAGGACAUCAUAGAGGGUGAGAAUCCCGUAUUUGACCAUUAUCUCCAGCUUUGUGAUACACUUUCAAAGAGUCGGAUUGUUUGGGAAUGCAGUCCAAAAUGGGUGGUAAAUUUCAUCUAAAGCUAAAUACUGGCGAGAGACCGAUAGCGAACAAGUACCGUGAGGGAAAGAUGAAAAGAACUUUGAAAAGAGAGUUAAACAGUACGUGAAAUUGUCAAAAGGGAAGCGUUUGACACCAGUGUUGUUUUCUCGAAAAUCAAUUAAAAAGAGUGGAUUUUGUGUUGUAUUGACUUAUCAGCUUUCUGCACUCUUUUCUUGCUUUUUUUAAUGCACUUUUCGUUUAACAAGUCAACAUCAAUUUCUUUUGUUGUAAAAGGGUCAUUGGAAGGUGGCUUUCUCUUCGGAGAAAGUGUUUAUAGCCUUUGGCCUCUGCAAUCGGAGAGACUUGAGGUCUGCAGCGUAGAUCCUUCGGGGUUAGAUACAUUUGUGCUAAGCUACAGCCUUUCAUAGACAACUUGUUGACUAUGUUUAGUCAUGUAACUUACCGCUUAUGCUAUUUACCUACGCUUAGGAU
rnacentral:misc_RNA from 1 species